CGUCACUGGCCCGUAUGGGCGGAAGUGCUUGGUAACGCAGUGCUGCCAUCUUGAGGUCAUAAUAAUGAUAUUGCAACUACAUUUUGGGUGAGACGUAUUAACUGUGCGCACAGUAGAGACUUUGAAGACGGUGUGCUUUUAGUACGGAAGGCGGAGGGCUUUUGAAAAUAUUGAAAUGCCAUGUUUCUAUGCGUUUUGAGGUUUCUACCAUCUGAGCAGUGACGGAGCUGAAGACUGACACGUUAAAAAUGUGAUCUGACGGUAACCAGGCGACCGCUUUCUGCAUCAAUACCCGUAUUUCCGUACUAAUACCAACUAUCUCUCAAUUUUCGGGACGACUCGUGCUGAAAUCUCCUAAUAACAUGAAGCAUCGCAUGGUAGAUUGAAUUGGUCAUAGAAUGGAGGUUCCUGCAGUAAACCACAGCUAUACACAUCCACCACCACAGCCAUGGGCCGGACAGAGUCCCAGGACCCCAAACAGGCCUUCACCCAGCUGUCCAUUUCCUUCAUAUCACUAUCCAAACCUGAACCCAGAUCAGCAGAGUGUGACCCCCAUGACCCAAACGACAGGAACCGCAGCAGGCCAUCGGCCUCAGUCACUGUACUGGGACCCUUCACAGCAAAGCUACCAAGGAGUGUUAAAGCCUGUUCCUGAGAUUACAAAUAAGACGAAUCAAGGAAUGCCACAGAGAAGCUACUCAUUACCAACGAGUCUAGUGUCAAAUUCUAAGACAGAGUCUCGGUACGGCCUGGAUCCUCAGCUUCUGCCCAGUGUGGUCCAGGUGAUUAAAGAGGACAGGAUCCAGUGGGAGGGGAAAGUGUUUGUUUCAGAAUGCAAAUCUUCAGUUCCCCCUCUCUCCUCAACACAAUGCACCCUGGAGGACAGAGGUACUGUCACUGCUGCCAAGUUUAGCCCGCAUUAUCUUUUGACUUUGUUCCCAAAUUCACAUGAAAAAUAAAUGUGAUGCACCUGGUUUUCUC
rnacentral:lncRNA from 1 species